UACAGAGGCCUCGAGCGUUAGGCGGAAUCACUGGGCUUAAAGCGUGUGUAGGCGGACCCCUAAGUACCUUGUGAAAUCCCACGGCUCACCCGUGGAACGGCUGGGUAUACUGGAGGUCUUGAGCCACCUAGGGGCGAGUGGAACAAAUGGUGGAGCGGUGAAAUGCGUAGAUAUCAUUUGGAACGCCAAUGGUGAAAAACAACUCGCUGGGGGUGUGCUGACGCUGAGAACACG
rnacentral:rRNA from 1 species